GGGCCGGUAGCUCAGCAAGGUAGAGCGGCGGGCUCCAGACCCGUAGGUCCGGGGUUCAAGUCCCCGCCGGCCCA
rnacentral:tRNA from 1 species